rnacentral:rRNA from 1 species
UACGUAGGGUGCAAGCGUUGUCCGGAAUUACUGGGCGUAAAGGGCGCGUAGGCGGUCCGAUAAGUCCCGUGUGAAAUCCCUCGGCUCAACUGAGGAACCGCACGGGAAACUGCCGGGCUUGAGUUCGGGAGAGGGAAGCGGAAUUCCGGGUGUAGCGGUGAAAUGCGUAGAUAUCUGGAGGAACACCGGUGGCGAAGGCGGCAUCCUGGACUGCACCUGACGCUGGACACGCGAAAGCUAGGGGAGCGAACGGG